rfam:Plasmodium chabaudi whole genome shotgun assembly, contig PC_RP0299
UAUGCUGAUUUAGCCACAGUGGCAUUUUUCAUUAUUUAAUACUUUUGGUGCCAUCUGCUAGAAAUCAGCUACAACAAAUUCAUAAUUUUAGGAACCAUUAAAAAAAUUAUUAAUUUUUUCUAUUGGGCCAUAUUUAUGAGUACAACA